AGGAGAGGUUACUUGAUGGGCAAC
rnacentral:siRNA from 1 species